rnacentral:rRNA from 1 species
CAUCCUUCGGGAUUGAUGAGAGUGGCGCACGGGUGCGUAACGCGUAUGCAACCUACCUUUUACAGGGGGAUAGCCCGGGGAAACCCGGAUUAAUACCCCAUGGCAUCAUGAUUCCGCAUGGAUUUAUGAUUAAAGCUUUCGGGCGGUAAAAGCUGGGCAUGCGUAGGAUUAGCUAGUUGGCGGGGUAACGGCCCACCAAGGCGACGAUCCUUAGGGGUUCUGAGAGGAAGGUCCCCCACACUGGCACUGAGAUACGGGCCAGACUCCUACGGGAGGCAGCAGUAGGGAAUAUUGGGCAAUGGGCGCAAGCCUGACCCAGCCAUGCCGCGUGCAGGAAGACGGCGUUAUGCGUUGUAAACUGCUUUUAUCUGGGAAGAAAAAGGUCCUGCGGGAUCAACUGACGGUACCAGAUGAAUAAGCACCGGCUAACUCCGUGCCAGCAGCCGCGGUAAUACGGAGGGUGCAAGCGUUGUCCGGAUUUAUUGGGUUUAAAGGGUGCGUAGGCGGCCAAUUAAGUCAGCGGUGAAAGUUUUCGGCUCAACCGGAAAAUUGCCAUUGAUACUGGUUGGCUUGAGUGUUGAUGGGGUACCUGGAAUUGAUGGUGUAGCGGUGAAAUGCAUAGAUACCAUC